UACGUAGGUGGCAAGCGUUGUCCGGAUUUACUGGGCGUAAAGAGCGCGCAGGCGGUCGUUCAAGUCGCGUGUGAAAGCCCCCGGCUCAACUGGGGAGGGUCACGCGAUACUGAUCGACUCGAAGGCAGGAGAGGGUAGUGGAAUUCCCGGUGUAGUGGUGAAAUGCGUAGAUAUCGGGAGGAACACCAGUGGCGAAGGCGACUACCUGGCCUGUUCUUGACGCUGAGACGCGAAAGCGUGGGGAGCGAACAGG
rnacentral:rRNA from 1 species